CAUGGGCCAGUCUCCUCCUCAGCCUAACCUACCUCACAGGGUUGUUGCAAGGUUAAAAGAUGGAGACCAUGAGACUACUGUUGAACCCCCUAAAGGAAGAAAAUAAUUUUAAAAAACUUCAUGUGAGAGGUAUAUGUGUAGUGUUUUCCACAAUGCUUGGAUGUUUAGGUGGUUUAUUGUGUCUUAAAACCCGAAGAAUGCAUUUCUGUUGGUUUUCAAAUUGUCAUGAGGUUUUCAUUGCAUGUUGGAGGCUAAUAUCUGUUUAAUACUGUGACAAUUUCUUGUGCUGGAAAAAAAGGAAAUUAGAAUUUUAAAGCUAUGAUUCAUUUUAAUCAGAAAUUGUCAAGCAUAAAUCUCUUCUUGAGUAGUGGAAAAGACCCUAAAGCGAGCAGGGGAAAAAAUAUCAAUACUUUGCAAAGGAGGAAUGAUUGUUCCAAUUCGCAGCUUAAUUGACUUUAAGGCUUAAUGAAAAACACUCUGGCACAGUUUGUAAACACAUUUGCUCAGGAGAAGGCUGAAAUCCUAUCCCAUGAGCUGAAGAACUCAGGGGCUUAUUCUGUAUUAUAUUAUUGACACCAUUGAAUGAAAGAGUACCGUAAUGAUUGAGUAGGGUUUUCACAGCUCCCGACUGUAUCCAUCUCUUUAAGAAAUACUUCAGAAUAUACACAAACAGAAUUAUAGGGUUGGAUCCAAAAGAUAAUUAUAAGAAAGCAAACAUCUACUAGCACUAUUUUGCAAAUGCUUAAGAGUUUACACAGUUCUACAAUGGGAAGCUAGGUUUUUGUUUGUUUGUUUGUUUUGCUACUUCCUAGAGCAAGGGUUCUCACACUUCCUACUCCCAGGGCCCACUAGAGAUGACUGAAAAUCAUAGCCUCAUCAAUCAUAAAAUGGUGGUGCAAAGUUGUACGAAUGGGAGUUAAAUUUGGGCAUAAUCAGCAAAUACAGACACUGCUUUCUACUGAUAUCUAAUCCAUUUCUGGAAAUUGCUAAAUCAUUGGCCACCGCAUUUUCCUUGCAGCACAGAGUUCAAUAGCUAAGCUUUCCUAAAGCCUCAUUUUAGGCAAAAUUUGCUGAGAGGCUAUAAAAACUAUACCUUAAUAUCCUUUAUUGUAUUUAACAGCCAGAUCCAAGUUUUGAUAGUGGUCCAAUACCUUAGCUUUUCAUGGCAUUCCUGUUAUAUCUGUACACGUUUAGAGAUAUAAUGCACAAAUUAAAUAGCUAUCUAGUUUGUUUUCUGAGAAUCAGAUGGUUUGAAGAAUUUAGAUCAGCACUUUUAAGCUGCUUUUAGAAUAUGGAACUUUCAAAUUCUGAGUAUAAAUUAGCCUUCUUUGGACUGCUGAAGUCAUUCAUUGUAGUUUAGCGUAUCAUUCUGUGUAAUUCUGUAGCACCAUUUAAGACAGGUGUGGGGAAUCUUUUACCCUCUAUAUGUUGCUGGACGAACAUCCCUGGCCAUUGGACAUGCUUGCUGGAGCUGCAACAUCUGGAGGGCCAGAGGUUAUUCACACCUGAUGCAAAACAAUGCAGUUUUUCACAAUAAGCAUUUCUCAGUCAGCCACAGCAACAAACAUGUUAUUGCUGAAAACGUGGUUGCUAUCACUAUAUUGCCAGUCAUGCCUCAGUCCCCAUCCCAACUUUGUAUACAUUCUUAUCAGAAUGAGUCUAUGAGAAGGCUUUGUUUGCCUUCAUUGACAUCAUCACAUAGACAAAUCUGUGGCAUGGUGACUGUUUUUAUUCACUGUUUGCUCACUGAUUGGCUGGAAUAAUGCAAGAAAAACCUUUCCAAGUUAAAAGAUUAAAAUGGCAGAAAAUUAGUGGCAGAUCAAGGAAACUGUGGCUGCAAUCAUACACAAAGAUGACCGGAAUAGCAGACGGCUGGGUUUCUCCUUGGACCUUUUGGUCAUGCCUUCCAUUGUUGACAAUAUCAACAACUGAACCUCAGGAACAUUCAGUGAAGCACUAGUUUUUUUUAAUGAUCUGUAAGUAAAUGAAUGUGUUAAAAAGCAAAUGGGCAAAUUAAAGCAAUUUAACAGCUUCACAAACAACUGCAUGGAUGAACUGUUGAGAUACACUUUUUUCCCCUUGUACUAUAAACAUAUGGCAUGAAUUUGCUUCUCUCAUUACAGAUGCUGAGAGAAGGGAAAGACAAAUAUUUAUAGUACGUUCAUGUUUUACAGUAAAAACACUGUUCAGUUUGUUUAUACAGUUCCACUGUUACAGUUUUUAUGGUUGGUAAUGAAACCACUGUAAAAUAGGGUCUGAAUUAUAUAGCAGAUGUGUUGAGCCUUUUGCACUCUGAAAGGCUGGCCCAUUGUUGAAUUGUGGAUAUCAUUUAUACCAAAUCAAUGUCCUGAGAACAGCUGAACUGUUUCAGACCUUUGUCUGUGUGUAUCACUAGCCUUGUACUACCAACAUAAUAAAGAUGUGAUUUUUAUGAUCCAAAUAAAUGCAGCAAUUUUCUUAAAAGUAAUUAGAUUUUGAAAUACAAAAGCUGCCUCUCUGGUUCAUGUGGGUGAGCAGAAGAUACUUUAAAAGAUUUGGUAGGCACUUUUCAAGAGUCUUAUGGAGGUGUUCCAAAAAGGUUAAGUGAUGUAAUGUUACUACUUGAAUUUUUCACCAUUAGAUUUUGGUGAUUUACAAGGAAGUGUAUUUAUUAAGCCUAUGGCCAAGUGAACAUGAGGAUUCACAUACAGGAACUUUCCUCUUUCCUUUUGUGGGCAGGAGCUUAUGUCCAAUAUAGAAUUAAGAGUCUGCUCACUUGAGAGAACAGGACGCACUGGUGUUUAUCUGCAUCGGAGUACCUUAGUCAUUUAUUCAUAUCAUUUAAUAUAUAUUGAAGCUUUCAAAAUUGUAAAAAUUGAGUAUUUUAAAUCUCUCUAUUUAAAAUUUCAGAUACAAAACCUGACACAGGAGUUAAUGGUAUAGAUGGGUUUGGAUGCUGUUUGGAGUUCAAGUCUAUCUCAGAUUGGGAGAAGUGGACAGGAAUGUGCACAUCUCUGCAGAAUGCCAACAACAUUGGGGUUGUGUGUAUAAGUCUACAUAUAAACGAAUGUACACAUUCCAGAUUCAUUCUUGCAUAAAGCAAGUUCUGUUUAUAAUUUAAUUUUUGAAGAAGUAAACUUGCCA
rnacentral:lncRNA from 1 species